rnacentral:rRNA from 1 species
UCCUAGCACAUGCGCGUCGAACGUUAAAACGGGGCAACCCGCAAGUAGAGUGGGGGACGGGUGACCUAAUACAUCGGAACGUGUCCAGUAAAGGGGGAUAACCUAACGAAAGUGACGCUAGUACCGGAUACGAUCUGAGGAUGAACGCGGGGGAUGCAACGCUAAAAGCUUGGGGCAGAGUACAGUCCAUGGCAUCCAUGAGUGUAUGGUGCUGCACCUCACCUAAUUGGAGCGGCUGAUGUCUGAUCAUCUAUUUGGUGAGGUAUUGGCUGACCACCGCGACCAUCAGUACCUGGUCUGAGAGGACGGAC